GACGGUAGGGGCCAGCGUUGUUCGGAAUUACUGGGUGUAAAGGGUUCGUAGGCGGUGCGGCAAGUUGGGAGUGAAAUCUCAUGGGCUUAACCCGAGAGGCUGACUUCCAAAACUGCUGUGCUUGAGUGUGGGAGAGGGCGGCGUGGGAAAUUGCAGGUGUAGCGGUGAAAUGCGUAGAUAUCUGCAGGAACACCCGUGGCGAAAGCGGCGCGCUGGACCACUACUGACGCUGAGGCGCGAAAGCGGUGGGGAGCAAACAGG
rnacentral:rRNA from 1 species